UUAUUAUAUACACUGGAUAUAUCUUCUAUGGUAUCCUGUCCACCUUACUUUUGACCACAAUACCCUCUUUGUUUCCUUCAGGGUGUUUCAAAUAUUUAAUUAUCUUGCUAGAUGCCAGUCAACACUUUCUAUUUGUCCCAUGAAUUUCAAAUCAGGGGAAAACAUAUACUCCCAAUAGGGAGUUGAGAUACUCUUAAAAUCAGUCAUUGUGUCUGUGACCGGAAAAACAAAUCCCACUAAAGAAUGUCCUAAGCAGAUUUUUUUUUUUUUUUUUUGUCAUAUAACCUGGAGUUAGGUGACUUGGCAUUGGUUCAGGGGCUGAAGGAUGUUAGGGAUGAGGUCUCUGUAGUUUUCUUGUCUCACAGUCACAAAAUGAAGUGUUAUUGAUUAAGCAGGGAUGCCCUACUUAGUAUUAGACUUCUUGGAAGUCUCCCUAAUUGCCACAGCCCCUAUCUUUUUGGCUUCAUUUCAAGGGUCCUUCUACAUUGUUAAUACUCUGGUAUAAAUAAGUUCCAUUAUUCCCUAUAACAUGACUGAAACCAAUCUAAAGUAUUAACAUUUUAAAUAUGUUUUGGGGAGCUACUCAGCUACUAGGGAGGCUGAGGUGGGAGGAUUGCUUGAGCCUGGGAGUUUCAGGCUGUAGUGAGCUAUGGUUGUGCCACUGUACUCCAGCCUGGGUAACUGAGAUCCUGUCUCAAUAAAUAAAUAAAACAAGUAUAUGUAUAAUAUAUAAUAUUACAGAUACAUACGUAUGUAUGUAUGUUUUUCAUCCCCACCCUUUGCCACAUCUCGGGGACCUGCCAGCAGCUCAUCCAGUUUAAAGCUGCUGUUCCUCUACCUCAGUGGUUUGGGAGAACAUGGUCAUUAUUUCACUCAUUCUUUACCUCCUCUGUCUCUUCUAGGAUUGGAAUGGGGGAGGGCAUAUUAGAGGAUAAAGUCUCAACUUAUGUGAUUAAUGUACCAUUGGUGUGUUCUGUGCAGACAAGCAUUUAAAUGUUGACUCCUGUUUGAGCUAUUGGGGUUCUCUGGAGCUCUCCAUGAGGACUGGAGCACUAACUGACUUUGAUUGCCUCUUUUUGAUGCACAGCCCACACUGCCCUUCAGCUCUUCAGCCCCUGACCCUGACAAUGUAUCCACAGCCUCCUUGUGCUAAAGUGCCUCACCCUCGUACACAGCCCUCCUGGGAAUGGUCCCAGCAAACCCUCAAGACUGGUUACCUUUCAUGGAACCCACAGGAAAUGCAUACAUAUUUGUCCUGCCAAACUAUAAGUGCAACCCAGCCAGCAGCUUGCUUUUCUCACACUGCCUUGUCCCAGCCAGCCUGACUCAUAUAUGUGAGAAGUGCCAGUCUCUAUAAUUCACAUGGCUCCAGAUCCUCAUAAGUGAUUCAGGUUAUGUUCUCCCAAGAAUCCUCUGUGCCACAUUCCACUCUGGUGGCCAAAUGGAGAUGGGUCUGUACAUUUCUGAGCUUAGCAAGUCUUUAUCUAGAGAAUGUAAUGCUGAAUGAAUGUAAUGCCUCUCCCUCACAUGGAAACACUAAUAUCUACAAAUGGUUCUGUUGGAGCCCUCCUCACUCAGGAGGGCUCUGCUAGAAUGAAGGGAGCAUACUAUUCCUUUGUCUUGCAGGGAGAAGUUAUCCCUAUUCCUAAAGAUUCCCAUCAAUGAAUCUUUUAUUUCUAAUCUCAUAUACAAUAGAAAGUGUAGCAGUCUUCUGGAUCAGCUUUACUAUCUUAGAAUAAACUUCAUGUGGAUGUAUCUAGUACCUUUAUUUGGAAUGUGUUGGUUCCUAUCACCUCUUGUCAUCAGUUUCGAUAUGUUAUCCAAAGAUCUUAGGCAACUGAAAAACUCUAACUUCCUCUUUUAUACAGAUAUUCUUAUUAAAUGUGAAGUUUCCUUU
rnacentral:lncRNA from 1 species